UUCCUGGUGGCUCAGUGGUAAAGCAUCUGCCUGUCAAUGCAGGAGACAUGGGUUCAAUCCCCGGUCCAGGAAG